rnacentral:snRNA from 1 species
GGAUGUGAGGGCGAUCUGGCUGUGACAUCCGUCACCCCAUUGAUCGCCAGGGCUGAUCCGGCUGAUCUGGCUGGCCAGGCGGCUGUCCCCUUCCUCCCUCACUGCUUCAUGUGUGUCCCUCCCGAGCUGCGCGCUCGGUCAAGAGGACGAAUUCCCCAAAUAGAGGAGGAGCGGUCUUCGGUCAAGGGUGUACGAGCAGCUGCGCUCCCCUGUAGACCCUCCAAACAAGCUCUCAAAUAAAUAAAUAGGGGCUGGGGCGAUGGUUCUGCAGUUAGAGGCACUUGCCCUGCAAC